UAACACGUGGAUACCUGCCCUUUAGGACUGGCAUAAACCCCGGGAAACUGGGGAUAUUCCAGAUGGUUCAUGGUAGUUGGAAUGCUCCAUGAUCGAAAGCUAUUGCGCUAAGGAUGGGUCUGCGGUCUAUCAGGUAGUAGUGGGUGUAAUGUACCUACUAGCCGACGACGGAUACGGGUUGUGGGAGCAAGAGCCCGGAGAUGGAUUCUGAGACAUGAAUCCAGGCCCUACGGGGCGCAGCAGGCGCGAAAACUUUACAAUGCGGGAAACCGCGAUAAGGGGACACCGAGUGCCAGCAUCUUAUGUUGGCUGUCCGCAUGUAUAAAUCACAUGUGUUAGCAAGGGCCGGGCAAGACCGGUGCCAGCCGCCGCGGUAACACCGGCGGCCCGAGUGGUGGCCACUAUUAUUGGGUCUAAAGGGUCCGUAGCCGGUUUGGUCAGUCUUCCGGGAAAUCUGACGGCUUAACCGUUAGGCUUUCGGGGGAUACUACCAGGCUAGGGACCGGGAGAGGUAAGAGGUACUACGGGGGUAGGAGUGAAAUCUUGUAAUCCUCGUGGGACCACCAGUGGCGAAGGCGUCCUACCAGAACGGGUCCGACGGUGAGGGACGAAAGCUGGGGGCACGAACCGGAUUAGAUACCCGGGUAGUCCCAGCCGUAAACUAUGCUCGCUAGGUGUCAGGGACGGUGCGACCGUUUCUGGUGCCGCAGGGAAGCCGUGAAGCGAGCCACCUGGGAAGUACGGUCGCAAGGCUGAAACUUAAAGGAAUUGGCGGGGGAGCACUACAACGGGUGGAGCCUGCGGUUUAAUUGGACUCAACGCCGGAAAACUCACCGGGGGCGACAGCAAUAUGUAGGUCAAGCUAAAGACUUCAGCC
rnacentral:rRNA from 1 species